UGCUGCAGUUUCGGGUUCAGCUCUGCAGCUUCACAUCUCUUACCUGCAAUAUUGAAACAAACCCCACCUUUCACCUUCACUGGGAGGUUGGAAAGGCUCUUCAGUGCCAGCUUUAAGGUGUGAGAACCAGAGGGGACUGGCUGUCACAGUGGGUGACAAUUCUCCUGAAUUUCCCAGCAAUAGGAGAUGAGGAGUUCAUUUUUAAUGCCUUUCCUCAUAAUACAGAAACACCAACAUCAAUCCUCCAAGCUCUCAUUUGGUGAGGUUUGUACUCAACACAAAAUCCCUGCCUAGGUUAGACUUUUUCCAGCAGUGAGGAGUUUAGUCCUGCAGCCCUAUAACACUGCAAUGCCAGCAAAAAAGUUUUAUCUUAAUUUCCUGAUGCCAGCUCGACGAUGUGACAAGAGUUAUAAAGGACCAUUUAUCUUGUCAGAGAGAAGGGACCAUCAGCACCAGACCCCAGAGAAUGAUCAUCAAGCUCUGCCUGAAAAAUUAUGUGCCUCAAAAAGCCUGAUCCCAAACCAGCAAUCUCAGAGCAAUACCCAUAUAUUAACUGUAGGAGCUGCACUGGAUGGAUCACUGGAAUAUAAUCAGAAGGACAGGCUUUGAAAUUCAGAGGAAUUUUAACUGGUGUCCUCUAGCAUCAAGCUGCAACUUCCCUUUGGAGCCACUGGUGUCUU